GGGGGCGUCACGGCUUCGACGGGAUUGCUUGUGGCAGGGAGGCAUGCCGGGGUGGGUACACCCGUAAUCGCGCCCAAAACUAUAAGUGCCGAACCUCAAUUCGCACUCGCUGCUUAAUUAACUAAGUAGCCGAUCGCUUCCGCUUCGCCUAUGGGCGGAUACCGAUCGUCGCACAGUAGGCUGGUCCAAGGUGCUCCGUCUGUGCGCCAAGGAUGAGAUCGAUCAGACUGGUGGCUUGCUCAUCUUCGCCCGUUCUCAGGGCAGGCUACGAGACAAAGAUGAACGAGGAAAAGCAUGAAUGCUCUCUGCUAUCCGUAGUUUCGGACGUGGGUUCAACUCCCACCGCCUCCACCA
rnacentral:tmRNA from 1 species